rnacentral:lncRNA from 1 species
AUGACCAGCAGGCCUGGCUACAGGCAGCAAGCACCAAACCCCAUUCCAGAUGCCAGGAAAGGCACACACAGGCCUGGCGCAGGUGGGCUGUCUUCUGGCCGCUCCCUGGGUGGACUGGUCUUGGAGACUGGACGGAGUGCUCAAUGUCAGGAGGAAGCCACGACUCACUCACUGGAGAACACGAGAGACAGCCGGCGCCGCCCCGAGGAGUGAGCGGAGGAUCUGCCUGGAGCUAGCCAGCCUCAUGGCCUGGACAGACACCUCAGUGAGCCUGUGAUCAGGGCCCUCGGAGCAGAGCCAGCUGCAGGGAGGCAAGUCAGGAGGCCUUUCCUUGAGGCCAGGAGAGAAGAACAAGCCAGCAGGAGGGCAGGACAGACUCCAGAGACACUCGUUGAGAAAACUGGCUUCAGCUCCAGAGUGGGGGGCAGAGGGGCUGCUCCGCCUGGGCAGCGUGGGGACUGCUGCCGGCCGGGAAGCUGCCAAGAGCCCGGGAGAGGAGGGCAGAGGGCACAGCACUCCUUCUUCAUAGACAGCAGGGACAAAGGUGGAGGGUGACUACGUCACUCUCGAUUCCCCGCCUUUCUGGGAAGGCCUCAUCAUGAAACAUUUUCGGCAUCAUAAUACUGGCUUAUAAAUGUUCGUAUACCCAAUUCCCAAACCAUUGAUUAAUUUAUUAAAGCUAUGAUUUACGUAAGGAUGAGCAUUUAAUUAGAGAAGAGCUUCUACCAUUUCACCAACCCAGGCAGUGGGGAAGGGGUGGAAAGGGGCGGCUGCUGUCCCAGGGGCAGUCCUUGGUGUCCUCCUGGUCCAGGCUUUCUUCCCUCCCUUCACUGGCCUCCAGAGCCAGGUGCUGCGCUGCCUGCACUAGAAGCCCUGCCCUAGGCUGUGCUGAGCAUGCGCACACACCCCCCACAGCAGGGCUCCCGCGUCAGUGGCCUCACUCCACCCUGCUCUCCCAGCGAGCCUGCUGUCCAUAGUCUGGCAGGUCUCCUCUUCACGUUCAGUGACACAACUGCUCGGCGCAUUAUAGAGGCCUCUGAAAGGCUAUGUGUUCACGAUCCUCCCAUGGAGGGGCUCAGAGGAGCGGCCUAAGAGGAGAUGCCUGCACUGUGCAGGAAAGAGGGGCUCCCUGCAGAGCCAGUGCCGUUGGUGGGGCUCAGGCUCCCAGGGUAGGGGCAGGAGUGGUCUCCACAGUGCACAUUUGCACGUAUGUUAGGACGAGGCUAUGGGGCACAGAGGGGCCAUUUGCCCUGCCUGGAGACUGGUCUAGGGUUGCAGGGCCCACAUGUACUGCAUGCCCCCAAAAGGGUCAGGGGAAGGCUUCCUCCAUCCCCUUGGGGCCACAGCCUCCUACUUGCCUAGGGAAACAUGGCUCUUGGAGGCCCAGGGAGGCCACUACCCUGCUGAGCAGGCAGGCCCCAAACUAAGGUGGAGACCACAGCGAUCGCAGCAGGGCAGCAGAAGCUGGUCUCAGGCUGGUGGGUGAAAGCUGAGGUUACUGGCAGUUGCCAUGGCAUGGUGAGAUUGCCAGGAUGAGGGCCCACUUGAAGAACAUGCCUGCACUGCCCUAGAGCUGCAUCUUCCUGGCAGCAGAAUGUCAGGGGAACCAGGCCUCCCCGCUUCAAGUGGGACAAAUGUAUGAGCCUGGGGGGCAGGUGGGGAGGGCCCUGCAGGGUGCCUGGGCAGCCUGUGGAGGAACAGCGGGGAUUCCCUUCGCACCGGGUGUAGCCAGCUGCACGGCAUUAACAGCCACUUGUCCUUCAGAACUUUGCUCUUCAGGUGGGGUCUGGGGUGAGGAAACCCAGUAACCCAGGAUUUGCACAAGGAAAGUAGCUUCCUGUGGCUUGGCUUCUUACGAGUGUCUAAAAGAACCGUCCUGGUACCGCUAGGCCACAAAAUGUUCAGAAAACACUGCAAGAGACACUGGGACACUCUAAAGCCAGGCCCAGAGAAGGAAUGCCGAGGAGAGAGAGGAGGAAUGCCAAAGAGAGGCCCAGCGGGAAGGGGUUCUGCCCAGCACCCUCUGCCUGGUCCCGGGCUCCCUGUGCAGGGAGCUAUGCCAGUGUGCUGAGGGUGUUCGAUGAGGACAGCAGCUCACAAUUGCAGAAGCCACGGACUCCUGGAGAAAUGGACCACGCACCUUCUCCCCAGCAAAGUGUCCUCUCUCCAAAGAGCUUUGAAUCUCAGAGAAUCUGAAGGCCCCCACCACGUGGGGCCCAUCCAGAGCCCUGGCCCAGAGCAGCAGAGGACAGGCUUAUACCCCUGCUCUGGAGUUGUGAAACCGUGGCACCCUGGAGUUGUGAAAUGCCAUCUCAAACUCGGCCAAUGGCCCUUCCAUCCCUGUCCCAGCUCCUACACUAGCUCUUUCCAUUAUAAGGAGGCCGGGAAGUAAUCCAGCUUCACCUGGUAAGUUCGACCUGUGAAAUGUGGGAAGACACAAGUCAGACACAACACCUUCUGUCCACACCGCUGGCACAAGGCUUCCAGUUGGGCAGAGCUGCUAGGGGGCACGGGGACAGAGGUGGAGCUCCUCCAUCCAGCCCCCAAAGGAGCCUGGGCAUGACCGUGGGUACUCAGAGCAGGCUGCCUCCUGAGGGACCAGAAGUCAAGCGUGCGACGGGCUGCGGGGCGGAGAGGCCACUCUGCCUCCAGGGACACACACUCUCCCAGGCCCACUUCCCUGUGGCCAAGGAGGAAAGCCGAGCAGGCACCUUUGAGUUGCACACAACGGACACACAGCACAGAGCCCACCCAGCCUGAGUAUUUACCAUCCGCCUUUCAUGGAAAUGCCGGCACCUGCUCCAGAGGAUACAGGAAUGACAGGGAUGGAGGACGGGAGGGACUCCCAGCCUGCGGGGAGGCUCCUGCAUGUGCCCAGCAGACUUUCAGCAGGGCUGGGCUGCAGGAGUGCCCAGCAUUUCCCAUUUCAGCUCCACUGGAAAGUGCGGCUGGUUCAAGUUGUUGCGAACUGAUCCCACCCAUGUAUACUGGGGUGGGAGGGCAGUGGGCAGCUUCUCGGCUCAGGUUUCCAGAGCACGAGGGGGCAGAUCCAGAGCGAGAGUAACUCACCGUAUUAAGAGUCUGGGCAUUAAGCCUGGUGCCAUGAAGGGACCAGACUUUGGGGCCAUCUUCCUUGGGUAGGGUUUAUUUUGCAUGGGGAAAGCUGGGAAGCAAAUAUUUGUGACCAGAAGGGCAAAUGAUGGUGACUGAAUUACUGCUCAUGCAUAUUCACUGCCUGUCCCUGGGAGAGGCCUACACUUCCCACCCCCUGAAGUCUUGGCCAGUUGGCGUCUCUUGUGGGAAGAAUAACUCCCGUCCUGCGGGUGGUUGUCUGUGCUCUCACUGCUCUGCUCCAACACCAACGACACUCCAGAUGGGGACUGCACUAGUUGCUUGGGAAGGGGUUGAAGACAAGAGCCACAGCUGACACAGGUGAACAGGAAAUAAACUUGUCUAUGUAUCAGCCACUGGCAUCUGAGGACCUUUCAUUACUACAGCCUCCCCAAGCCCCUCAGAGCUGCUCUGCCUCCUUCCCAGACAGCAGCACCAGCAGCACAAAGUCUCAGCCCACUUUCCUGGCCAGGUU